GAUUUUAGCCUAUCAGUGACAACAUUGUACUUCAGCCUAGAUCUUGAAAUGUUCUCUUUGAUGAUAUGUAACGUCAUUCUUUUGACUCUGGUGGAAUAUCCAUGUUUGUAAGACUGCUCACAGACUGUUUGACCAGAGAGUUUUCUGGUACUGCAACAUCUACCACUAAUCUCUGUGAUCCCUGUGAAUUGGCAAAAUAAGAAUAGUGCUAUAGAUUUCUUCCAAAUACAGAAAACAUAAGUAUGAAAAUGUUCUUGCUGUUGAUUAUAUUCUUUACCAAUCUGUUUGUAUGGGAUUUUUGGUACUUCACUUGAAAAAUGAGUCCAAGGUACUGUGAUGUGAUUGUUUACUUUGUGUGGCCUUUCUAGCCAUGGUCUUAUAACAUCCACCCUGGUGCUUGGGCAGGACUGUGUGAUAGGGUAAUUGUGGCUCACCAAGGGGAUUGUUUAUUUUCCCUUCAAAGAGAACCAGUUCCAGAGCAAAGAGGAGGAUUCAACUCCCAUCAAGGAAGAACAGCCAAGAGCCGAGCGUAUAUUAUGGACCUGAGAUCCCUGCACUGAGAAGCUCCUAGAAGCAGGAGACUGAGAUAGAGAGAGGAAGCUGUAACCCUGAAGAUGCUUAAAUACAGACCAGAAGAGGAGUUUGGGGCUUGACACCUGACAUCUUAACACCAGUUCCUGUUUCUUGAGGAAGGAAGAGGUAAAAUAAAUCAGCGUUUACUGUGUCCUUCUCCAUCCCCGGAAGUCCUGAUGAAGACCCUCUCAGAGAUGCAGCACACACAGAAUCCCAG